UGUGGUUUUGGAUGGACUCGCGGCCUAUCAGCUUGUUGGUGAGGUAAUGGCUCACCAAGGCGACGACGGGUAGCCGGCCUGAGAGGGUGACCGGCCACACUGGGACUGAGACACGGCCCAGACUCCUACGGGAGGCAGCAGUGGGGAAUAUUGCACAAUGGGCGCAAGCCUGAUGCAGCGACGCCGCGUGAGGGAUGACGGCCUUCGGGUUGUAAACCUCUUUCAGUAGGGAAGAAGCGAAAGUGACGGUACCUGCAGAAGAAGCGCCGGCUAACUACGUGCCAGCAGCCGCGGUAAUACGUAGGGCGCAAGCGUUAUCCGGAAUUAUUGGGCGUAAAGAGCUCGUAGGCGGUUUGUCGCGUCUGCCGUGAAAGUCCGGGGCUCAACUCCGGAUCUGCGGUGGGUACGGGCAGACUAGAGUGAUGUAGGGGAGACUGGAAUUCCUGGUGUAGCGGUGAAAUGCGCAGAUAUCAGGAGGAACACCGAUGGCGAAGGCAGGUCUCUGGGCAUUAACUGACGCUGAGGAGCGAAAGCAUGGGGAGCGAACAGGAUUAGAUACCCUGGUAGUCCAUGCCGUAAACGUUGGGCACUAGGUGUGGGGGACAUU
rnacentral:rRNA from 1 species